CGGUCAAUUUAUUACAGCUUCACCAAAACGGACAUGGCAAGGUUGCUGGUUUUAUUGGCUAUAAUAGCCGUAACAUCAAGUAUUACAGGCAAUGAAGUAUCGGAGAAGGUUCCCUUACUGUUUCCUCGCGCUUGCGGCAUCCAUGGAUGGAAAAAAUGUCGCGUUGCGAGAAGAAGGUCACAUUUACAGAAGAAAAGCAUCAACGCAAGGGACGUAUACAUCCGAGAGGAUAAACAUGACCUGUAGAAAUCUUCAAACCAAAGAGUUACUCACCCUUGAUCAGCGUUGAAAGAGUCGGUUAGCUUAACGUAGCAAACAGCGAUGUAAUUUCUAAGAAAAAUAAAAAUCACAUAUUCUAUUCA